rnacentral:rRNA from 1 species
GCAGUCGAGGGGCAGCGGGUAGAUGAGCUUGCUCAUUUAUGCCGGCGACCGGCGCACGGGUGAGUAACACGUAUGCAACCUGCCCGUCUCAGGGGGAUAAUCGUCGGAAACGGCGUCUAAUACCCCGUAUGAAGCUGGACGGCAUCGUCUGGUUUUGAAAGAAUAUCGGAGACGGAUGGGCAUGCGGCGCAUUAGCUGGUUGGCGGGGUAACGGCCCACCAAGGCAACGAUGCGUAGGGGUUCUGAGAGGAAGGUCCCCCACACUGGUACUGAGACACGGACCAGACUCCUACGGGAGGCAGCAGUGAGGAAUAUUGGUCAAUGGGCGAGAGCCUGAACCAGCCAAGUCGCGUGAGGGAGUACUGCCCUAUGGGUUGUAAACCUCUUUUGUCGGGGAGCAAAAGCCGGACGUGUCCGUCUGUGAGAGUACCCGAAGAAAAAGCAUCGGCUAACUCCGUGCCAGCAGCCGCGGUAAUACGUAGGGAGCGAGCGUUGUCCGGAAUUACUGGGUGUAAAGGGAGCGUAGGCGGGGGUACAAGUUGGGUGUUAAAUCUACCGGCUCAACUGGUAGUCGCACUCAAAACUGUAUCUCUUGAGUGAAGUAGAGGCAGGCGGAAUUCCUAGUGUAGCGGUGAAAUGCGUAGAUAUUAGGAGGAACACCAGUGGCGAAGGCAGCUUACCGGCGCCCAACUGACGCUGAGGCUCGAAAGUGUGGGGAGCAAACAGGAUUAGAUACCCUGGUAGUCCACACCGUAAACGAUGAUUACUAGGUGUGGGGGGUCUGACCCCCUCCGUGCCGGAGCAAACGCAAUAAGUAAUCCACCU